UGAGGAAUAUUGGUCAAUGGGCGGAAGCCUGAACCAGCCAUCCCGCGUGAAGGAAGAAUGCGCUAUGCGUUGUAAACUUCUUUUCCAGGGGAAGAAAACCUCUGAUGUAUCGGAGCUUGCCGGUACCCUGGGAAUAAGCAUCGGCUAACUCCGUGCCAGCAGCCGCGGUAAUACGGAGGAUGCGAGCGUUAUCCGGAUUUAUUGGGUUUAAAGGGUGCGUAGGCGGAUAAAUAAGUCAGUGGUGAAACCCUGCAGCUUAACUGUAGACUUGCCGUUGAUACUGUUUAUCUUGAGUUUGGUCAAGGCAGGCGGAAUGUGUAAUGUAGCGGUGAAAUGCUUAGAUAUUACACAGAACACCGAUAGCGAAGGCAGCUUGCUGGGCCGUUACUGACGCUGAUGCACGAAAGCGUGGGGAUCGAACAGGAUUAGGUACCCUGGUAGUCCACGCCGUAAACGAUGAUCACUAGCUGUUGGCGAUACACAGUCAGCGGCAAAGCAAAAGCAUUAAGUGAUCCACCUGGGGAGUACGGCCGCAAGGCUG
rnacentral:rRNA from 1 species